rnacentral:rRNA from 1 species
CGUACACUCCUGCGGGAGGCAGCAGUGGGGAAUAUUGGACAAUGGGCGCAAGCCUGAUCCAGCCAUGCCGCGUGAGUGAUGAAGGCCCUAGGGUUGUAAAGCUCUUUCACCGGAGAAGAUAAUGACGGUAUCCGGAGAAGAAGCCCCGGCUAACUUCGUGCCAGCAGCCGCGGUAAUACGAAGGGGGCUAGCGUUGUUCGGAAUUACUGGGCGUAAAGCGCACGUAGGCGGAUCGAUCAGUCAGGGGUGAAAUCCCAGGGCUCAACCCUGGAACUGCCUUUGAUACUGUCGAUCUGGAGUAUGGAAGAGGUGAGUGGAAUUCCGAGUGUAGAGGUGAAAUUCGUAGAUAUUCGGAGGAACACCAGUGGCGAAGGCGGCUCACUGGUCCAUUACUGACGCUGAGGUGCGAAAGCGUGGGGAGCAAACAGGAUUAGAAACCCUAGUAGUCCCAUGA